GCUGGUAGUUACAAAUUAGAAUUUAAAAUUGCAUAUGAUGUAUGUAUAUGUUUAGGAUAUGCUUGAGACCUAAGACCCUCAUUCAAAUUAUAUUAAGUCAUAAUGGUGAAGUAUUAAGAAUACUACCCAUGCCUUCCUUCAUGCUAAGCCAGUAUUAUCUUAAGAACCAUGGUAGGCUUGUUGUGCUAUCCAUAAGACUUGUUGUGGGGACUGUUUUGAUACUGUCUUGGUACAUAAUGAAGCUAAUUGUACUUAGCUCAUACUAG
rnacentral:lncRNA from 1 species